rnacentral:tRNA from 1 species
GGAGAUGGUACUCAGUGGGAGAGCAUGUGCUUGGCAUGUACAGGGUUCUGGGUUCAAUCCCCAGUGUCUCCA